AAUGUGCCUGGGAUGGGUUUAAAUAUACUAUGAGAUCAAGAAUCCAUGAACACAACUAAAAUCUGAGGCAUAAU